rnacentral:rRNA from 1 species
RWAGCCGCAGUAUUUUGACUGUGCUAAGGUAGCAUAAUAAUUUGUCUUUUAAUUGAAGGCUGGAAUGAAAGGGGGGACGAUAGUUAAGCUUUUUAAAAACAGGGUGGAAAUUAAUAUCUAUAUGAAAAAGUAUAGCUUUUUAGGGGGACGAUAAGACCCUAUAAAACUUUAUUUUACGCGCGUAGUUUUUGAUUUUGAAGUUUGAGGGUUUGAGUAAAAUUAAGCUGGGGCAGCAUCUAGGAUAUUUUAGAAAACUUAACACUUCUGGGUGGUAUGAAAGAUCUUGUAUAGAGAUAGAGAAGUUACUUUAGGGAUAACAGCACAAUUUUUUUGUAAAGACCACAUAGAGGAAAAAGACUUGUGACCUCGAUGUUGAAUUGAGGGGCCUAAUUAAAGCAGAUAUUAAUAUAGGGGGUCUGUUCGACCUUUAAUCCCUCA